GAUGAACGCUGGCGGCGUGCUUAACACAUGCAAGUCGAACGGAAAGGCCGAAGCUUGCUUCGGUACUCGAGUGGCGAACGGGUGAGUAACACGUGGGUGAUCUGCCCUGUACUUCGGGAUAAGCUUGGGAAACUGGGUCUAAUACCGGAUAUGACGAUCUCUUGGAUGGGGUUGUGGAAAGCUUUUGCGGUAUGGGAUGAGCUCGCGGCCUAUCAGCUUGUUGGUGGGGUAAUGGCCUACCAAGGCGUCGACGGGUAGCCGGCCUGAGAGGGUGUACGGCCACAUUGGGACUGAGAUACGGCCCAGACUCCUACGGGAGGCAGCAGUGGGGAAUAUUGCACAAUGGGCGCAAGCCUGAUGCAGCGACGCCGCGUGGGGGAUGACGGCCUUCGGGUUGUAAACUCCUUUCGCAAUCGACGAAGCCUUUUGGCGACGGUAGGUUGAGAAGAAGCACCGGCUAACUACGUG
rnacentral:rRNA from 1 species